UAGGGAAUCUUCCACAAUGGACGCAAGUCUGAUGGAGCAACGCCGCGCGAGUGAAGAAGGUCUUCGGAUCGUAAAGCUCUGUUGUUGGUGAAGAAGGAUAGAGGCAGUAACUGGUCUUUAUUUGACGGUAAUCAACCAGAAAGUCACGGCUAACUACGUGCCAGCAGCCGCGGUAAUACGUAGGUGGCAAGCGUUGUCCGGAUUUAUUGGGCGUAAAGCGAGCGCAGGCGGAAUGAUAAGUCUGAUGUGAAAGCCCACGGCUCAACCGUGGAACUGCAUCGGAAACUGUCAUUCUUGAGUGCAGAAGAGGAGAGUGGAACUCCAUGUAUAGCGGUGGAAUGCGUAGAUAUAUGGAAGAACACCAGUGGCGAAGGCGGCUCUCUGGUCUGCAACUGACGCUGAGGCUCGAAAGCAUGGGUAGCGAACAGGAUUAGAUACCCUGGUAGUCCAUGCCGUAAACGAUGAGCGCUAGGUGUUGGGGACUUUCCGGUCCUCAGUGCCGCAGCAAACGCAUUAAGCGCUCCGCCUGGGGAGUACGACCGCAAGGUUGAAAC
rnacentral:rRNA from 1 species